rnacentral:misc_RNA from 1 species
ACUCCGUAGGUGAACCUGCGGAGGGAUCAUUACAGAGUUCGUGCCCUCGCGGGUAGUUCUCCCACCCUGUGUUAUUGCUACCUUUUUUGCUUUGGCCGGCGCCCCUCGGCUACCGCCCCCGGCUGCUACGCGCCCGACAGAUGACCCCCAACCCUGAACGUCAGUGUCGUCUGAAUACUAUACAAUAGUUAAAACUUUCAACAACGGAUCUCUUGGUUCUG